UUUCUUCUUAAAUUUCCCUCGUUGUGCAGUGGUGUGCGAAAGAAGCUUGUUUUCUUUGAAAUGAUAUUGUCACUGGAAUUUUUGCUGAAUUGAACUGAUAAUAAUUCAUAAAACGUAUUCAAAAAAAAAAGGAACUCAGAGAGUUGACAAUAACCUUACCUUCAAAAUUUCAUGAAAAUAUUGGAAUCAGUCAUGUUCUAUUUUGUUUUGUUGGUUUCUUUAAUAUUUGUCAUCACUGCAGCAAUUGAACCAUAUAAUAAUUGUGGAUGUAAAUAUUCUGAUAAUGGAAAACACUAUGUAAUAUCCAUGAAAGAUGUGAAACCAAAAAACAAAUACUUUACACUUGAUGGUACCUCUAUAGUUUGGACUUACUACUUCAAUCCUUGUGACGUGUUUUCAAAAGAUAAAUGCACUGAUGUUAUCAUGUGUCAAGAAGGUGGAAAAGAAAGUUUUCCAAUAGCAAAAAAGGAAAUAAAGAAUUGUGAUGAAUACAAGAACAACAAAACAACGUUGUAUUAUCAAAAAGUCAAAGGACCAAUAGAAACGAGGCAGAUGAAAUUAACAUUGGAUUGCAACAAGGAGGUUACGAAACCUAAAUUUAGCCCAGUUACUGAAAGUCAAAGUUUGGAUACCAGUAUCUUCGAACUGACAAUUACUGCCAAAGCAGUUUGUCCAAAAGAGAUUUCGUCCAAAAGUACUACUAGUCAUAACUUGAGUGCUGGAAGUGUACUUGUUAUUAUUUUUAUCACGUUGAUUGUGGUUUAUUUUGUGGCUGGUAUAUUAUUUAUGAAGUAUAAAAGAGGAGCCACUGGAAAAGAAGUUAUACGAAACAUUGAAUUCUAAUCUUCCCUUCCUGGAUUAAUAAAGAUCGUGUAAGCUCAGUGGAGGAAACAGGAAGUCAGGAAGUGACAUUUCUUCUAAAAUUUCCCUCGUUGUGCAGUGGUGUGCGAAAGAAGCUUGUUUUCUUUGAAAUGAUAUUGUCACUGGAAUUUUUGCUGAAUUGAACUGAUAAUAAUUCAUAAAACGUAUUCAAAAAAAAAAGGGAAUUCAGUAAGUUAAAAAAAUAUGAGACAUGUUGUACUGUGGCUGGAACUUCACAAUUCAUACCGUAUUUGAAGAUCAUCAGGGACAUCAGCUAAAUAUUAAAUAUAGAGAGUUGACAAUAACCUUAUCUUCAAAAUUUCAUGAAAAUAUUGGAAUCAGUCAUGUUCUAUUUUGUUUUGUUGGUUUCUUUAAUAUUUGUCAUCACUGCAGCAAUUGAACCAUAUAAUAAUUGUGGAUGUAAAUAUUCUGAUAAUGGAAAACACUAUGUAAUAUCCAUGAAAGAUGUGAAACCAAAACAAAUACUUUACACUUGCUCAUUCCUCUAUAAUUUGGACUUACUACUUCAAUCCUUGUGAUGUGUUUUCAAAAGAUACCUGCACUGAUGUUAUCAUGUGUCAAGAAGGUGGAAAACAAAGUUUUCCAAUAGCAAAAAAGGAAAUAAAGAAUUGUAGUGAAUACAAGAACAGCAAAACAACGUUGUAUUAUAAAAAAGUCAAAGGAAAAACAACAUCGAGGCAGAUGAAAUUAACAUUGGAUUGCAACAAGGAGGUUACGAAACCUAAAUUUAGCCCAGUUACUGAAAGUCAAAGUUCGGGUACCAGUAUCUUCGAACUGACAAUUACUGCCAAAGCAGUUUGUCCAAAUGAGAUUUCGUCCAAAAGUACUACUAGUCAUAACUUGAGUGCUGGAAGUGUACUUGUUAUUAUUUUUUUCACGUUGAUUGUGGUUUAUUUUGUGGCUGGUAUAUUAUUUAUGAAGUAUAAAAGAGGAGCCACUGGAAAAGAAGUUAUACCAAACAUUGAAUUCUGGUCUUCCCUUCCUGGAUUAAUAAAGGAUGGUUGCAUUUUCUUUGCGAACAAAACGAAAUCGUUUUUUGGUAGAUGCUGUAAUAGAGAAGGAUACAAUGAAAUUUGAAGAAGCAGAUUUAGUCUUGUUAACAAGAUUUUUCCUCCUUCAUAGCCAAUCAUAGUUAUAUCUGCAAUAUUUUUUUACUAUUUUAUGCAUCGAUUGAUUAAUUUAAUUCAAUAAUGAAAAAUUUUACACUUUGUCAUUUUUAAAUUCUUUAGCAAAUUAUGGACGAUUAAAACGAAAUCUUAUGAAA